rnacentral:rRNA from 1 species
UACGUAGGCAGCAAGCGUUGUUCGGAAUUACUGGGUGUAAAGGGUUCGUAGGCGGUGUGGCAAGUCGGGAGUGAAAUCUCUGGGCUUAACCCAGAGGCUGCUUCCAAAACUGCUGUGCUUGAGUGUGGGAGAGGCGCGUGGAAUUGCAGGUGUAGCGGUGAAAUGCGUAGAUAUCUGCAGGAACACCCGUGGCGAAAGCGG